UACGUAGGGGGCUAGCGUUGUCCGGAAUCAUUGGGCGUAAAGAGCGUGUAGGCGGCUCGGUAAGUCCGCUGUGAAAGUCCAGGGCUCAACCCUGGAAUGCCGGUGGAAACUGUCGAGCUAGAGUCCGGAAGAGGCGAGUGGAAUUCCUGGUGUAGCGGUGAAAUGCGCAGAUAUCAGGAGGAACACCAAUGGCGAAGGCAGCUCGCUGGGACGGUACUGACGCUGAGACGCGAAAGCGUGGGGAGCAAACAGGG
rnacentral:rRNA from 1 species